rnacentral:rRNA from 1 species
AACAGGGAUUGCCUUAGUAACGGCGAGUGAAGCGGCAAAAGCUCAAAUUUGAAAUCUGGCACCUUCGGUGUCCGAGUUGUAAUUUGAAGAAGGUAACUUUGGGAUUGGCUCUUGUCUAAGUUCCUUGGAACAGGACGUCACAGAGGGUGAGAAUCCCGUGCGAUGAGAUGACCAAUCCUAUGUAAAGUGCUUUCGAAGAGUCGAGUUGUUUGGGAAUGCAGCUCUAAGUGGGUGGUAAAUUCCAUCUAAAGCUAAAUAUUGGCGAGAGACCGAUAGCGAACAAGUACAGUGAUGGAAAGAUGAAAAGAACUUUGAAAAGAGAGUGAAAAAGUACGUGAAAUUGUUGAAAGGGAAGGGCUUGAGAUCAGACUUGGUAUUUUGCAUUCCUUACCUUCGUGGUGGGGUUCCUUGCAGUUUACUGGGCCAGCAUCGGUUUGGAUGGUGGGAUAAUGACAUUGGAAUGUGGCUCUGCUUCGGUAGAGUGUUAUAGCCAGUGUUGAUACCGCCUGUCUAGACCGAGGACUGCGUCUUUGACUAGGAUGCUGGCAUAAUGAUC